UACGUAGGUGGCAAGCGUUGUCCGGAAUUAUUGGGCGUAAAGAGCAUGUAGGCGGGCUUUUAAGUCCGACGUGAAAAUGCGGGGCUUAACCCCGUAUGGCGUUGGAUACUGGAAGUCUUGAGUGCAGGAGAGGAAAGGGGAAUUCCCAGUGUAGCGGUGAAAUGCGCAGAUAUUGGGAGGAACACCAGUGGCGAAGGCGCCUUUCUGGACUGUGUCUGACGCUGAGAUGCGAAAGCCAGGGUAGCAAACGGG
rnacentral:rRNA from 1 species